GAUGAAGAACGUAGUGAAAUGCGAUACGUAAUGUGAAUUGCAGAAUUCAGUGAAUCAUCGAAUCUUUGAACGCAUAUUGCGCUCUCUGGUAUUCCGGAGAGCACGCUUGUUUGAGUAUCAGUAAACACCUCAACUCCCUUUUCUUUUUUGAAAUGGGAGCUGGACUUGAGUGAUCCCAACACUUUUCUCACUGGAAAGUGGCGGGUCACUUGAAAUGCAGGUGCAGCUGGACUUUUCUCUGAGCUAUAAGCAUAUCUAUUUAGUCUGCCUAAAAAACAGAUUAUUACCUUUGCUGCAGCUAACAUAAAGGAGAUGAGUUCUUGUGCUGACUGAUGCAGGAUUCACAGAGACAGCUUUGCGGCUGACUUUGUAAACUCGAUCUCAAAUCAAGUAAGACUACCCGCUGAACUUAAGCAUAUCAAUAAGCGGAGGA
rnacentral:misc_RNA from 1 species